rnacentral:misc_RNA from 1 species
GUGAAUCUGCGGGCUAAGGGUACGAGGAACUUCUCAUUGAGCGAGGUGAAGGUGAGGAUGCUGAUGAAGAGAAAGAGCGAGAGAGAGCCCGAGGGGUAGACGAAGGAUCUGCCAAUGUGACGGUUCAUGUAGGUGGCCUGCUCGACAGAAAAGGUGGUCAUUUGGGAGUAGAUGGUCCAGAAGAGGAUGCACGUCGACCAGAUUGGGAUCAGCUUGAGGACCAUCUUCACCUCUUCUACGUGCGUAACAGUCAUCGCCGAGCAUGUCCCUUCUUCACUGCAUGCUAAGAUAGCUGCCUUGUCAAGACACCUGAAUUUCUCAGUGUGAGGAACCCUAGCCUCAUCAUACCCGUUCAGAAGGCUCGGAUGCGAAGGAUACUGCAACUUCCUCUUCCUCCAGGCCAACACUAACACCCUCCAUAUCACCGCCAACGGGCUCCCCUGCGGCCGCCGGUAACGAUAAAACGGCGUCCCGGCCAGGAGCACCGCCACCGCCAACACCAUCGCCGCCGCUGAUAUCCCGUACCCCAGCCCCCUCGAAACAUUAUCCUGG